AUGCAAGUUCAAGGCAUAUUGCAGGCUCCAGCAGACGCUGGCCAACUCACACGACCGGAUACUUGGGUUGGUUUUCAGUACAUUGACAUGCUCACCUUAUCAGGUGGUGGGACUUUUGAUGGCCAAGGAGCACUUUCUUGGAAUCAAAAUGACUGCCACAAAAACAAAAAUUGCAAACCUCUUCCCGUUAAUCUGCGGUUCGAAUUCCUCACAAAUUCCAAAGUUCAGGACAUAACUUCACUUAACAGCAAAUUUUUCCACAUGCAUGUUUUUCGGUGCAACCAUACUACAUUUCAACAGCUUACCAUCACAGCACCUGACGAGAGCAGAAACACAGAUGGAAUCCAUAUCGGGGCUUCGACUGCUAUCAACAUUACUCAUUCAAAGAUUGGAACUGGGGAUGACUGUAUUUCUAUUGGUGAUGACUCCCAUGAAAUCACAGUGACUGAUGUUACUUGUGGGCCAGGCCAUGGAAUAAGCAUUGGAAGCCUUGGAAAAUAUAAGGAAGAAAAGGAUGUGACCGGGAUCAUAGUUAAGAACUGCACCCUGACUAAUACGGAGAACGGUGUGAGAAUCAAAACAUUUCCAGAUUCUCCUUCGCCUAGCUCUGCCUCGAGUAUACACUAUGAGGAUAUUAUCAUGGUUAAUGUCAGUAACCCUAUCCUCAUAGACCAAUUGUACUGCCCAUAUACUCAGUGUGAACAAAAGCCUCCGUCAAAAGUUAAGAUCAACAAUGUUAGCUUCAAGAACAUUAAGGGCUCAUCUUUCACUCCACUUGCAGUCAAGCUUGUAUGUACCACGGGCAUACCGUGUGAGAAUGUGGAGUUGACUGACAUUGAUCUCACCUACGGUGGAAACAAAGGCCCUCUUACCUCUAUGUGUUCUAAUGUCAAGCCCACAAUUACUGGCGUGACAAAGGCUCUUGGUUGUGCUACAUCGUCCUUGGCACCUCUUCCUU
rnacentral:lncRNA from 1 species